GAUGAACGCUAGCUACAUGCUUAACACAUGCAAGUCGAGGGACCGGCGCACGGGUGAGUAACACGUAUCCAACCUGCCCUUUACUCGCGGAUAGCCUUUCGAAAGAAAGAUUAAUACCCGAUAUAAAGGAUGGGGAUGCGUUCCAUUAGGUUGUUGGUGAGGUAACGGCUCACCAAGCCUUCGAUGGAUAGGGGUUCUGAGAGGAAGGUCCCCCACAUUGGAACUAAGGCACAGUCCAAACUCCUACGGGAGGCAGCAGUGAGGAAUACUAGUCAAUGAGCGCUGGCCUGAACACGCCAAGUAGCGUGAAGGAUGAAGGCUUAUGAAUCGUAAACUUCUUUUAUAUAAGAAUAUGUAUUAUAUGAGUAAGGAUCGGCUAACUCCGUGCCAGCCGCCGCGGUAAUAC
rnacentral:rRNA from 1 species